GACGAACGCUGGCGGCGUGCUUAACACAUGCAAGUCGAGCGGUAAGGCCCUUUCGGGGGUACACGAGCGGCGAACGGGUGAGUAACACGUGGGUGACCUGCCUCUAGCUCUGGGAUAAGCCUGGGAAGCUGGGUCUAAUACCGGAUAUGACCUCGCGGUGCAUGUUGCGGGGUGGAAAGCCUUGUGCGGCUAGGGAUGGGCCCGCGGCCUAUCAGCUUGUUGGUGGGGUGANGGCCUACCAAGGCGACGACGGGUAGCCGGCCUGAGAGGGCGACCGGCCACACUGGGACUGAGACACGGCCCAGACUCCUACGGGAGGCAGCAGUGGGGAAUCUUGCGCAAUGGGGCGAAAGCCUGACGCAGCGACGCCGCGUGAGGGAUGACGGCCUGGU
rnacentral:rRNA from 1 species